ensembl:lncRNA
GUUGUAUUGUCAUUGUCAUUUAAUUGAAGGAACUAUCUAAUUUCUUCUUUAAUUUCAUCUGUGACUCAUUGGUUAUUCAGAAGUGUGUUGUUCAAUUUCCAUGUAUUUAUGAAGUUUUUGUGGUUUCUUUUGCUAUUGAUCUGCAAUUUUGUUGCACUAUGGUCUGAUAAUAUACGGGGGGGUAACUUCAAGUCCUUUUUACUUACCUAAAUAUGUUCUAUGAGGGAGUAUGUGGUCUAUUUUGAAGAAAGACCCGUGUGCAGCUGAAAAGAAUGUAUAUUCUGAUUUUGUGGGUAGAACACUCUGUAAACAUCUGUUAAGUUCAUUUGUUCAAGAAUUUGAUUGAGUUCUAGUAUUUCAUUGCUUGUUUUUUGUCUAGUUGAUCUAUCUAUUUGUGACAAUGAGGUAUUGACGUCCCCCACUACUAUUGUAUUAGUUCAUAUUUGAUUUUUCAUGUCCUUUAGUAUUUGUUUUAUAUAGUUGGGUACACUAGUGUUUGGUGCAUAGGUAUUUAUGAUUGUCAUCUCUUCCCCUUGGAUUGUUCUCUUUAUAAGGAUGUAGAGUCCUUCUUUGUCUUAAUCAGUGUUGGGUUGAAAUCCACUUGAUUUAGAAAGAGGAUAGCUACUCCUGCUUUUUUUUUCGUGUUUCUGUGGCAUGGAGUAUUGUUUUCUACCCUUUAACUUUCAGUAAAUGAGUUUCUUUUUGAAUUAAGUGUGCUUCUUGUAUGGAGCAUAUUUAGAGUUUUUUGAUCAAGGCUAGUUGGUAUCCUAUGUGCCUCACUUAUCUGUAUUUCAAGUUCUUUUCCCUUGCUUGGGAAGUUUUCUUCCAUUACUUCUGUGAACAGUUUUUUAUGUCAUCUGCACUCUCUCCUGUUUCUUCUUUGACUCCAGUCAGUCUUAUUUUAUUCUUCUUUGCAUCAUCUGGCAGCUGCUGGAUUGAUUUCUCAUGUUCGCUUGCAAUUUUGAAGCAAUUUUUCUUUUCCUGGUCACUAAUUGCAAUCUUAUCUUCUAUAUCUGAAAUUUUAUCCUCACAUUGGUUCAUUCUGCUGUGCAGAGUUUCGAUGGAGUUUUUAAUCUCCUGGAAAGCUGUUUGCAUCUGUUUUAUGGAUUCCAUUUGUUUCCUAUGUUGGGAUUCCAUCAUGUUCCUCAGCUUCUCUCUAGAUUUAUUAGUCAUGUCUUGCACUACAGGCACAAUCUCUGCUGUUAUUGGAGUCACUUUUCUAGAUAAACCAGCCUCACUUGAACUGUCUGAAGAAAAAUACUACCACAAAGAAGAAAGCUACUCCUGUGAACACCUGGAAGACCUGAGGUUCCUCUUCAAAAAAACUCUAGUAAUGCUCUAGGUACAGAUAAAUAAACAGGCACCUGUAUUGAGAUUCCUGUUUUUAAUUAGAUCCAUAAUGUAUAUAAUCUUGCUAAUACUAUGGCUCUCAGGCUUCCUAUAAUUUAUCUAACGUCCCUCUUUGCCUUACUUUCUCCUCCUCAGGAGCAUGGAAUUCUGAUAUGCUUCUUAUAUUUAGGCUCUACAUCCCCAACCUAAUAGUAAUGUUACUCUCCUGACAAAUUCAUCAAGCUUUCUCCCAUCAAACAGUGGCUCAUAUGAACAAAAAAUCUUUUUUCACUGUCUUUUGACAGAUUUUUUUUUUUUUUUUUUUUUUUGGUACUGGGGAUUGAACUCGGGUCUUUGCGCUUGCGUAGCAGGCGGUGAAACAACUGAGCUAAAUCCCCGGCCCAACAGAUUCUUUUUUCUUCAACCCAGCCAAUGAGGACAAUAACCCAAGGAGUUUCUCUUGGUUAUAUGCUAAUGUACAGAUUGCUAAAUGGUGAUUACUGGCCACUGAGCAAUAACCUGAAUUGAACCAUCUACUUCUCUUGGAUCGAACUCAGGAACUUGUGCUUGCUCGGCAGGCGCCUGAACCACUGAGCUAAAUCCUCGGCCCCUCAAUGCCUUAUUUACAUGAGAAAGAAGCCAAUCUAGAAUACAAAAAAAAAAAAACUCCUUUCAUUAUCCUCCUGGCCAAGGUAAUGAAUGAACACAUUGCCCUACACUCACUCUGCAUAGUGUACUUUCCACUUUCAAUAAAUGUACAUUCCCACUA